CUCAUUUGCAUAAAGUUAAAGCAUGCCCAACUUUCAGCAGGCAGCAAAGAUGUUUUUUUCCUCAGCAGGCAGCAAAUCGCUUCCAUUCUAUCCCAAUGAGAGCAGCACGAUAUCGCGUGCCGUGGACACCCACGUUUAUUAUCUCCCUAACACACACACACACACACACACUAAACCUCACACACACCAUCAGUUAUCAUCUCCCUAACACACACACACUAAACCUCACACACACCAUCAGUCAUUAUCUCCCUAACACACACACACACACUAAACCUCACACACACCAUCAGUUAUCAUCUCCCUAACACACACACACACACACACACUAUCAGUUCAGCAGGUUCCAUCCUUCUCCAGUUUGUUGUUGUAGUCAUGGUGUGUGACGUCAUUCAUUCAUUCAUUCAUUCAUUCAUUCAUUCAUUCAUUCAUUCGUUCAUUCGUUCAUUCAUUCAUUCAUUCGUUCACUCAUUAUGAGUUGCCAACCUGGAAAAACAUCUCAUGCCUUCAUCACAUCGUGACAGCCACCAGCCAAUCAUAUCCCUCGAGCUGGAGAUGGAGAUGGAGCUGGUGUGUUUCUGUGUGUGUGUGUUUGUGUGUGUAUGUGCGUGUGCGUGUGCGUGUGCGUGUGAGGAGCUGGGUACAGAAGCAGUCAGUGUCGAUAAUUCUUCAAAGCUUGACAGAGUUCAUGUCAGCUAGAGGAGCAAACCAAGACAGGAUGGUCUCCCCUAACACACACACACACACACACACACACACACACACAUUAGUCAGAGGUAUUUAAGAGUGGAAGAUGGCAGCAUAUGACUUCAUUUAAAUACAUCUACAUCUAACUGUCCUCUAACAGCAAAUGUUGGUCUUUAUAAUCGUGUCGCUUCCGUUUGAAAACUGAGAAAGUCAUGAAAUAUGUUCAAGUUACUGCUUCAGAAAAACAUAUGGCAUCAUAACAGAUGUUAGUUAACUGCACAGAAGUCUUGAACAUGAACAACUUUAAGUCAAAUGUCAGAUGACCGCUAGGCCUGUAGUUAGCCACAAGACCGCUAGGCCUGUAGUUAGCCACAAGACCGCUAGGCCUGUAGUUAACCACAAGACCGCUAGGCCUGUAGUUAGCCACAAGACCUCUAGGCCUGUAGUUAGCCUGCUGGGUACUGAAGCUGCAGUCCUCACUGGACUCAGGAACACCACUCUACCUUCAGGGGAGCAGGGAGAACAGAGAGAGCACUGAGAUGGAGAGAGAGAGAGAGAGAGAGUGAUGGAGAGAGAGAGAGAGUGAGUGUACUGAGAUGGAGAGGGAGAGAGAGAGAGAGAGAGUACUGAGAUGGAGAGAGAGAGAGAGCACUGAGAUGGAGAGAGAGAGAGAGUGUACUGAGAUGGAGAGAGAGAGAGUGAUGGAGAGAGAGUACUGAGAUGAAAGGAGAGAGAGAGAGAGAGUGAUGGAGACAGAGAGAGAGAGCACUGAGAUGGAGAGAGAGAGAGAGAGUGAGAGAGAGAAAAACAGAAAGAGAGCGAAAAAGGUUGAAGACAGAGAGAGACAGAAGAUUUCAGAGGAUGGAUGAGUGUGUGUGACAUGUACAGAUUAUUGUGUGUGUGUGUGUGUGUGUGUGAGAGAAUGAGAAAGACAGACAGACAGAGAGAGAGAGAGCGAGUGUGUGUGUGUGUGAAAGAGAAAGACAGACAGACAGACAGAGAGAGAGUGUGUGUGUGUGUGUGUACCAACAUGACUGCUUAUGAAGAGGGUGGAGUCUCAGGGUUAGAGAUCUGUGUUGCCAUGGUGUUGUGUUUGUGUUGUCACGACGAUCAUUCCUGCUUGCUAUGAGAAGGAGGAGGUGGGGCUGGGUGCCACCAGAUCCCAGGGGUGUAGCAGAGCCAGAUCAGAGCCAGAUUCCUGCCAGACCAGAUCAGAGCCACAUCACAGCCACAUCAGAGCCAGAUCAGAGCCAGAUUCCUGCCGUGUUUGUGGGCUUCAAUCCCACAGUCGAUCCAGUCCUGACCCGGUACCCAUCCGUACUGGACCAACACAGGACCUGGUGUGUGUGUUGCCUACCACUACACACACACACACACACACACACACACACACACUCUGGAUCCAUCCCAGGAGUGAUGUUCUUGCGGGGCUUGGUUCUGCUUUGAGCUCCUAAAUGCUCCAAAUCUGUCCUCUCAGGGUUGUCCCGUGAUACGCUGAAGAACCUGCUCAGGAGCCCACACACACACACACACACACACACACACACACACACACACCA
ensembl:lncRNA